GCACCCACACAAAUUUAAUUAUUGAGGGUGUACAAUUAUGUAUACAAUUUUUUUAAAAAAUUACCGUACACCACGUGGGUCCGCCUCUGCUUCCUCUUCAGCCCCAAUUCUCCCAUUUCACUGUGCUUCUUUCUCCUUCAUAUCUUCUCAUACUUGGGAUAUUAAUAUUAUGGAGUUACUUUUCUUUAGUUUGCAUGGUGAUUAAUUUCGGUGGAUUUUAUAUUUCUUAGGAUAUACAUUUUCUGUGAUUUUCUCCAUGUUUUCUUUGUGAAAUGUGUACAUGCAAAUUGUAAUGAUUCUUGUUGUAUGUUUUUUGUUUAUUCUUUAAUUCUUUUUCUUGUACAUUCAAAUGUAUGAUUGCAAAAUAGGAGUACAACUUUUGUCUAUAAGGUGUUUGAUGGUACAUACAUGGUUCUUUGUCACAAUAGUGAGCAUGGUACAUAUAUGGUUCUUUGAUGAUUUUGCUAAUGGCUUUUUUCAAAAAUGUCAAGGAUCGUGUCGGUGAAUCUCACUUUAAUAAAGUUCUAAAUAUUUAGCUGGAGCAGCUUAUUGAGGUUCUGUACUCUGAUAUAUGUUGCCUUAAUAUAUAAUUGAACUUAAGUAUGAAAAAUACAAGUGAUUCUCAUGCUAAAUAAUUUGUUCUAUGCAUGUAAACCUUCAAAACUUUUACAUGAGAAGUGGUCGCCCAAGUUUGUGAUCAGUGUUGCUCACGAAAAUCAUCAGGUUGAAUUGCCUGAUAGUUUUCCUCCAGGUAAUCAUGCAAGGAUUUUCUGUCUCCAAGCAAGAGCAAGAUAAAGUCGCAAAAUUCACAUUCCGUGGACUGCCUACUGAACUUAAGCAUGGUAGUGUAGUUAUAGCUGCUAUAACGAGCUGCACAAAUACAUCUAAUCCAAGUAUCAUGCUGGUCUUGUUCCAAAAAAGGCCUGUGAAUUAGGUUUGGAGGUUAAACCAUGGAUAAAAACAAGUCUAGCACUAGGUUCGGGAGCUGUUACAAAAUACCUCCAUAAGAGUGGUCUACAGAAGUACCUGAACCAGCAGGGCUUCAAUUUGGUUGGCUAUGGUUGCACGUGUAUUGGUAAUUCUAGAGACCUUGAUGAAUCAGUUGCUUCUGCCAUCACUGACAAUGACAUUGAAGUUGCAGCUGUGCUUUCUGUAAAUCGGAACUUUGAAGGCCGUGUUCACCCUCUAACAAGAGCUAAUUAUCUUGCUUCGCCGCCGCUGGUUGUCGCAUAUGCACUUGCAGGAACGGUUAAGGCAUAUACCACACGAGUUGGUUCUGAUCCUUUUCCAACAGAAAUCAUGGGCAAAGGUGGUGACCUCCUUCGUUUUGUUGGGCAGGAGUUUGGCACAACUACUGGACGUCCGCGUUGUUGUGGUUGACUAGACAUAGUUGCGCUGAGAUACUGUUGUCAAAUAAAUGGAUUUGCUUCUCUAAACCUAACAAAGCUAGAUGUGCUGUCAGAUCUAUGAGAAAUUCAGUUGGGUGUUGGGUGUUACUGACAAGCAUCCUCUAUAUUAAAUUCCUUUCCUUCUGAACUUCCUCUUCUUCAGCAAAUAAUGGUAAGUUCCUUUUUUCUUUCUUUCUUCUUCAACAUUCUUUUGCGUGAUGAUCUUGUGGUAUUUGGAAGUACAAACUAUUAGUUCCAACUUUCAUGUGAAUGUUUUGGGGAAACUGAGCCAUGUAUUCAGUUCGAAUCAUUGCAGUUUUUUGAUGAGAAAUUUUGGUGUUGAGUUGUCCGGAUGAAAAUGUUUGUUAAAUGAGCAAACUUCAAAGAGUGUUGGUGCUUUGCUAAUUUGGGAGCUGACAGAAAGAGCUAUGCGCACCAGUCCUUAGCAUUAGUGCGUUUACGCGUGCUUUUAACAUUCGUUCUCUUAUCCAUUUUUUCGUUAAGCAAUAAAUAACUUAUGAUCUGAUAAGCACUGGCAGCAGCAUCUUGAGUUAUUGGACCCUGUGUAAGAGUCAUUCCAAUUGAGUAGGGGAAGAGUCUCUUUCGAGCGAGAUCCAUUACCACGCCUAACUAAAUGAAAGAAAGUAAGACUCAAUGAUGAUGAUGGAUUGGUGGUUGCCUUUACUGGUAACCACAUUUUUUUGAUUUUGUGUUGUUCUUCUAUUUCUUUUGGGUAUUUGUUAACUUUUCUUGUUUUCGAUUGUUUCUUGUCGGAUUCUUAGGCAUUCCUUUCUCAACUUGCUCUUCGAUUGAAGGAGGCUUCCGUAGCUUUUAACAAAUGGAAAUAUUAAGAAUCGACACAUACAAGCCUGCUUCAGUUUCAAUUUCAAAAAAAACAAAUACAAGCAUGCCAUCAUAUUCUCUUCCUACUCCAGCAGCUAUUUUGAUUACUAUAUAAUAAGUGAGACUUUCGUCGUCUAGGGACAUUCUUGAAAUUUUCAUUUUUAAGUGAUGCUUCUACUGCUACUUUCAACCGUUAAAACACGUGUACUAUCCAUUAGUACGUGCCAAUCUUUUUUUUUUUUAUAUACCCAUAGAGGAGUUAAACCACCUCCCCCUUUUACUCUCCUUACAACAAUCACUAGGUACAGUACGUCAAAAGGCAAAUCUAGAUCCAUAAUCAAGGAAAAUAACAUAAAAGCAAAAUGAAACCAGAGAAGAAACAACAACUAAUAGCAAUUAAUAAAAGGAAAGAGCAGGAAGAAGAUGCAUCUACCAAGGAGUGAGACAGAGCCAGCAGAGAGUGAGAGAUGAACAAUAACAAACAAUAGUAUUGAUGGUCGGACACGCUGAGUUGCCACACUUCUCUUGAAGUCACAUUUUUCUUCUUGAACUAUCUAAUCCUUUCAUAUCAUAUGUCAAGAAUGGUGUAGUUACUACAGUGACCGACUUGAUGAUUUCUGGUGUUGGAGGUUCCGUUGAGGUGUUGAACAACUAUUAAUAUUUUUGCUGGUUAGCAGUUCUUAUUCAAAUCUAUUGGUCUUUUAUUUUGCUUGGAAUUCAGUUCUAUGGUAGUUGUUAUGCAAAUAUUAAAAGCAACUGGCUGUUACUUUAAAUUGUUGGAAAUGUUGAUCUACUUUCAAAUUUUCAGUUUGAGUUUUCUUUAUGACAUGCUUCCAUGGUGUUGAAUCUUGAUUUUUUUCCA